GAACGAGCUUCCGUUGAAUGACGUGCUUGCACUGAUUUCAACAAUGAAGCGAGUGGCGAACUGGUGAGUAACACGUGGGGAAUCUGCCCAGAAGCAGGGGAUAACACUUGGAAACAGGUGCUAAUACCGUAUAACAACAAAAUCCGCAUGGAUUUUGUUUGAAAGGUGGCUUCGGCUAUCACUUCUGGAUGAUCCCGCGGCGUAUUAGUUAGUUGGUGAGGUAAAGGCCCACCAAGACGAUGAUACGUAGCCGACCUGAGAGGGUAAUCGGCCACAUUGGGACUGAGACACGGCCCAAACUCCUACGGGAGGCAGCAGUAGGGAAUCUUCCACAAUGGACGAAAGUCUGAUGGAGCAAUGCCGCGUGAGUGAAGAAGGGUUUCGGCUCGUAAAACUCUGUUGUUAAAGAAGAACACCUUUGAGAGUAACUGUUCAAGGGUUGACGGUAUUUAACCAGAAAGCCACGGCUAACUACGUGCCAGCAGCCGCGGUAAUACGUAGGUGGCAAGCGUUGUCCGGAUUUAUUGGGCGUAAAGCGAGCGCAGGCGGUUUUUUAAGUCUGAUGUGAAAGCCUUCGGCUUAACCGGAGAAGUGCAUCGGAAACUGGGAGACUUGAGUGCAGAAGAGGACAGUGGAACUCCAUGUGUAGCGGUGGAAUGCGUAGAUAUAUGGAAGAACACCAGUGGCGAAGGCGGCUGUCUAGUCUGUAACUGACGCUGAGGCUCGAAAGCAUGGGUAGCGAACAGGAUUAGAUACCCUGGUAGUCCAUGCCGUAAACGAUGAGUGCUAAGUGUUGGAGGGUUUCCGCCCUUCAGUGCUGCAGCUAACGCAUUAAGCACUCCGCCUGG
rnacentral:rRNA from 2 species